rnacentral:rRNA from 1 species
CGUGUAGGCGGUUAUCCAAGUCAGGUGUGAAAGCCUUGAGCUCAACUCAAGAAAUGCACUUGGUACUGGGUGACUAGAGGACCGGAGAGGAUAGUGGAAUUCCCAGUGUAGUGGUGAAAUACGUAGAGAUUGGGAAGAACACCAGUGGCGAAGGCGGCUAUCUGGACGGUUUCUGACGCUAAGACGCGAAAGCGUGGGGAGCAAACA